GAGAUAUAGCUCAAUUGGUAGAGUGCUUGUCUUGCAUGUACAAGGUCCUGGGUUUGAUCCCCAGCACACA
rnacentral:tRNA from 1 species